UGAUACUGAACGGUUUCCCACAAAUUGCUAGUCUAUUGCUCAUAUUAUGCAUUGGUUCAAUAUAUUGCUUCCUCUGAGUUGUCUUUCAUUCAUAGAAUUCCUUUAUUUUUCAGUCAAAGACAUCUCUUUGUUUUUUCACUUCAUUUCUUAUGUCUACUUGGCUAUAAACCAUGGACCCAGUCUGCACUCAGCAAUAUUUAUUGAGCCUCUGUUCUAUGCCAGACACUGUGUUAGGUACUAGGGAUCCACAGACAAACUCAACAAGGUUCUCUGUUUCCCAGGGUCUUACACUCAGGUGGGGAGAAAGAGAGACAGGUGGAGAGUUAAGAUAUAAGGUGCUGAGUCAAUAGUGGAAGAAGCCAACAGAUGCUAUUGGAAAACAGGGGAACGGAAUUCAGAUCUACGUGGGAGCUCAGAGAAGACUAAAUAGAGAAAGUGAAUUCAAUUGACUCUAGAAGGUUGUGUGGGAAUUACCCAGGUGAAGAAAGUGUGUAAGGGGGAACCCAGAAAACAAAAUAGCGUGGAUUAACCCAGAGACUCGAGACUUUGUAAGCACGUUCGCACGUGUAUGUUUUUGCUUUGUUACUGAAUCAGCUUCCGCAGUCUUGAAAACUUCAGGAAUGGGCGCGUUAGCACUCAUCCAGAUAGCCCAGGAAAAGAAGAGAGGCUUAGUUAUAUAAAACACCCUCCAUAUGAAAGAAAUGAAGUGGCGGGAAAUAGUCUGGGGCCGUGCCAUUUCUUGCUCUGGUCUCUGGGUAACAUCACUAGCCCGAGCAAGUUAUUUAUUUGGGGCUGCUUCUUGUACUUCCCUAUUUACAAAGCACUUUACAUGCGUUAUAUCCUUUGAGUCUCAAAAUAAUCCUCUGAGAACAUAAUCGCAAGUAGUAGUCUUCCUAUCAGGGGAUAAAAGAAACUAAGAUUUAGUAAGUUUGCGUUAUUUGAGCAAAUUUGCCCGGAAAGUAAGUUGCAGAUCUGGUUUCCUAGCCAGGUUCUCUGACUCUGUGAUCUCAGCUCUUCCUUAUACCACGUUUUUGUCCAUCAGACAUAUGAACAGCUUUGGAAGAGGAAUGAAUAUGAGACCGCCCGCUUGAAAGUGUAGGAGUUCCACACGCCUAAAAUUCAGGGAGAGGUGUCCCCUGAGAUUGUCCUUAAGAAGACUGAGAUCUAAGGAGGGACAGUGAGGACACCACCAACAGGAAGUACAUGAUGUCAAUCUGUCUCACAUGUCCUUCAGGAUGUUUUAGUACGGACCUCAUGUUCGUGUUCUUCAGUGUCACAGAAGCAGUGAGGUGACAAACUACACGUCCCAGGGGGUGAUCAAGAGGGGUUAAGAGUGAGAAUUGAUUCAGACUUGGGUUCAAAUCCUGUCUCCACUCUUGGCCAUUUGACAUAGCAGAAGAAGAUUGGAGGAUGAAGGGAGAGAAGAAAGGCUAUCUGACUCAUGAGUAUUUUUAUCCAAGAGAUGUGGAACAGUACCUGAAAGGACUAUUUAAAUCAUUGGAUCAGACUAAGCUUCAAACUGGAUUGCACUUCUGGUUAAAUUUUCUCUGCUAAACGGAGAUUUUAACUCGAGUUGAUAUCUGUUAAUGCGACAAAAGGAAGGCAAGUGUUGCCCUGAUACAUGCUUCCUACUGAGUAAGGCAGGUCUGGACAUUUGGAAAGAAAUUGCAAGAUCCAUCCACGUUCUGAAGCAUGGAAAUGAUGUGUGAGUGGUGGGGUCUUCAUCAUUUAAGUAAGUAGUCGGAGUUAACUCGUCUGACUUUCACAUGGUAUUGAUCCUUUCUCUCUUGGGAAGAGCUGUGUGGAUUUUUGGUGGUUGUUAUUCUUGGGGCGGGGAGCCCGUGGAGGGAAGGAGAGGAUGAGUGGAAAUGAGACCAUAAAGACCGGAUAACUAAGUACUGCGCACAGGGACUGACGGGCGGGAUGAUACGCAGAUCUUUGUUCUCAACCGAAGUGCUUCAUCUAUAAUGGAGAUUACGGUAAAGACAAAAUGAAGUUGUCUAAAGGAAAAUGAUGUCUCAGGAGUCGUUAUAGUGGUUUGACCGCAAGUUAAUAAUGUGGCCAGCACUUAAUAGUGAACUGCAGGCCUACAUUAUCUUUGAACGGAUGCCACUCAUGAGCAAUCCAAACAGGUCAAUUACCAGCAAAUCUCUGAUGAUCUCAGUACAUCAAGGAAGAGCCGAGAAGAAUGCCCAGAUGCGCAGACACGUAAGAACUGAAACAGGGUACAAACCAAUUUACCGAAAUGGAACUUAACCCUCAGAGGAAUGAAACCAGCCUACUACAUAUUCAUUUCUAUCUUAUUAAUUAUUUAUGCAGGGUGUGAACCUGCCACUUGAAGCAAAUUUUACAAACCAGUAAGUG
ensembl:lncRNA